rnacentral:rRNA from 1 species
CUACGGGAUGCUCCAGUGAGGAAUUUUGCGCAAUGGGGGAAACCCUGACGCAGCAACGCCGCGUGAGUGAAGAAGGCUUUCGGGUCGUAAAGCUCUGUCAGAUAGGAAAAAAGUUCAUAUGUAAAUAGCUUAUGAAUCUGAUGGUACUAUCAGAGGAAGCACCGGCUAACUCCGUGCCAGCAGCCGCGGUAAUACGGAGGGUGCAAUCGUUGUUCGGAAUUACUGGGCGGAAAGGGCGUGUAGGCGGUAUGGUAAGUCAGAUGUGAAAGCCCUGGGCUUAACUCAGGAAGUGCAUUUGAUACUGCCAUCCUUGAGUAUGGGAGAGGAGAGUAGAAUUCCCAGUGUAGAGGUGAAAUUCGUAGAUAUUGGGAGGAAUACCCGUGGCGAAGGCGACUCUCUGGACCAAUACUGACGCUGAGACGCGAAAGCGUGGGGAGCAAACAGGAUUAGAUACCCGGGUAGUC